rnacentral:rRNA from 1 species
AAUGAUUCCCUCAGUAACGGCGAGCGAAGAGGGAUAAGCUCAAAUUUUAAAUCUGUUGGGUUCCACUUAACAGAGUUGUAUUUUGAAGAAACGUUUUCUGCAUCCAGGAUUAGCCUAAAUCCUUUGGGAUAAGGUAUCAUGGAGGGUGAGAAUCCCGUUCAUGGUUAAUCUUAAGGAAGCUCUACGAUACGUUUUCCAAGAGUCGAGUUGUUUGGGAUUGCAGCUCAAAAUGGGAGGUAAAUUUCUCCUAAGGCUAAAUAUUGGCGAGAGACCGAUAGCGAACAAGUACCGUGAGGGAAAGAUGAAAAGAACUUUGAAAAGAGAGUUAAACAGUACGUGAAAUUGUUGAAAGGGAAACGAUUGAAGUCAGUCAUACCAACGGGAAAUCAACCUUUUGAGCUUGGUCUCGUGGGUUUUGAAGAGUUUCAAAGCCUUCGGAUUCGCGGGAUUGGGAUCUCUUGGUGUACUUUUUCGUACGGUUAGUCAACAUCGGUUUUGAAUGUCAUAAAAUGACUGGAGGAAUGUAGCUUCGAUCUCGUAUUGAAGUGUUAUAGCCUUUGGUAGAUGUGAUGUUUGAGACCGAGGAUUGCAACGGAUACCCUUUAGGGCUAUUCGUCUGAUCUCUGAUACGUUGCCUUGAUGUUGAAAGCUUGCUUAUGAUGUUAGGGUAUUACGGUCAAAAGGUUAGAACGGAUUAGAUUCGUUAAGGAUGUUGACGUAAUGACUUUAAACGACCCGUCUUGAAACACGGACCAAGGAGUCUAA